rnacentral:rRNA from 1 species
UACAGAGGGUGCGAGCGUUAAUCGGAAUUACUGGGCGUAAAGCGUGCGUAGACGGUCAAGUAAGUCGGGUGUGAAAGCCCCGGGCUCAACCUGGGAAUUGCAUUCGAGACUGCGUGGCUAGGGUGCGGAAGAGGGAAGCGGAAUUUCCGGUGUAGCGGUGAAAUGCGUAGAUAUCGGAAGGAACACCAGUGGCGAAGGCGGGUCUCUGGGCAGUAACUGACGCUGAGGAGCGAAAGCGUGGGGAGCGAACAGG